CCGCGGGAUUAGAGUUUGAUCCUGGCUCAGGACGAACGCUGGCGGCGUGCCUAACACAUGCAAGUCGAACGCGCUCCAUUCGGUAGCAAUACUGAUGAAGAGUGAGUGGCGAACGGGUGAGUAACACAUGAGCAACCUGCCCCGAAGACUGGGACAACACCGGGAAACCGGUGCUAAUACCGGAUAUCCCUAUCGGACCGCAUGAUCUGAUAAGGAAAUGGAUUCCGCUUCGGGAGGGGCUCGUGGCCUAUCAGCUAGUUGGUGAGGUAACGGCUCACCAAGGCAUCGACGGGUAGCUGGUCUGAGAGGACGAUCAGCCACACUGGGACUGAGACACGGCCCAGACUCCUACGGGAGGCAGCAGUGGGGAAUCUUGCGCAAUGGGCGAAAGCCUGACGCAGCAACGCCGCGUGGAGGACGAAGGCUUUCUGAGUUGUAAACUCCUUUCAGCAGGGACGAUAGUGACGGUACCUGCAGAAGAAGCACCGGCCAACUACGUGCCAGCAGCCGCGGUGAUACGUAGGGUGCAAGCGUUGUCCGGAUUUAUUGGGCGUAAAGAGCUCGUAGGCGGUUUGAUAAGUCGGGUGUGAAACCUCCAGGCUCAACCUGGAGCCGCCACUCGAUACUGUCAUGACUAGAAUUCGGUAGGGGACCACGGAAUUCCUGGUGUAGCGGUGAAAUGCGCAGAUAUCAGGAGGAACACCAGCAGCGAAGGCGGUGGUCUGGGCCGACAUUGACGCUGAGGAGCGAAAGCGUGGGGAGCGAACAGGAUUAGAUACCCUGGUAGUCCACGCCGUANACGUUGGGCACUAGGUGUGGGGACUAUUCAACGGUUUCCGUGCCGCAGCUAACGCAUUAAGUGCCCCGCCUGGGGAGUACGGC
rnacentral:rRNA from 1 species